GCCAUAUCACUUUGAAAAAACCGAUUCUCAUACGAUCACCGAACUUAAGCUACAUUGAGCCUGGUCAGUACAUAAAUGGGUAAGCGCUUGGGCAUAACAGGUGCUGCAAU